rnacentral:rRNA from 1 species
UACGGGGGGGGCAAGCGUUGUUCGGAAUUACUGGGCGUAAAGGGUGCGUAGGCGGCUUUCUAAGUUGGAUGUGAAAACUAUGGGCUCAACCCAUAGCCUGCAUCCAAAACUGGAGAGCUUGGGUUCUGGAGGGGAGAGCGGAAUUCCUGGUGUAGCAGUGAAAUGCGUAGAUAUCGUGAGGAAGACCGGUGGCGAAGGCGGGUCUCUGGACAGUUCCUGACGCUGAGGCACGAAGGCCAGGGGAGCAAACGGG